rnacentral:rRNA from 1 species
GACGAACGCUGGCGGCGUGCCUAAUACAUGCAAGUGGAGCGACGAACCAGGGCUUGCCCUGGGGCAAAGCCGCGAACGGGUGAGUAACACGUGGGUUACCUGCCCCGAUGACCGGGACAACCCGAGGAAACUCGAGCUAAUACCGGAUGUGCCCGCAAGGGGAAAGGAAGCUUCGGCCUCCGCAUCGGGAUGGGCCCGCGGCCCAUUAGCUUGUUGGUGAGGUAACGGCUCACCAAGGCGACGAUGGGUAGCUGGUCUGAGAGGACGAUCAGCCACA